rfam:Brachypodium distachyon strain Bd21 chromosome 2, whole genome shotgun sequence.
AAGUUACUCCCUCCGAUUCAUAUUAAUUAUCUCAAAUUUGCCCAAAUGUGGAUGUAUCUAUGCCUAAAAUGCGUCUAGAUACAUGUAAUAUUUCAACAAUUAAUAUGGAUCGGAGGGAGUAUAAC